UAAGAUGUUCAGAGGAACUGCCGGCUUCCU
rnacentral:piRNA from 1 species